GCGGAAGGAUCAUUGUCAAAACCUGCCCAGCAGAAAGACCCGCGAAC
rnacentral:rRNA from 1 species